rnacentral:tRNA from 1 species
UAGCCUAGUGGUUAAGGCUUUGGAUCGCUAAUCCGGAGACGACGGGGUUGAUUCCCGU